UGGGGAAUAUUGCACAAUGGGCGCAAGCCUGAUGCAGCCAUGCCGCGUGUGUGAAGAAGGCAUUCGGGUUGUAAAGCACUUUCAGCGGGGAGGAAGGCGAUAAGGUUAAUAACCUUGUCGAUUGACGUUACCCGCAGAAGAAGCACCGGCUAACUCCGUGCCAGCAGCUGCGGUAAUACGGAGGGUGCAAGCGUUAAUCGGAAUUACUGGGCGUAAAGCGCACGCAGGCGGUCUGUCAAGUCGGAUGUGAAAUCCCCGGGCUCAACCUGGGAACUGCAUUCGAAACUGGCAGGCUAGAGUCUUGUAGAGGGGGGUAGAAUUCCAGGUGUAGCGGUGAAAUGCGUAGAGAUCUGGAGGAAUACCGGUGGCGAAGGCGGCCCCCUGGACAAAGACUGACGCUCAGGUGCGAAAGCGUGGGGAGCAAACAGG
rnacentral:rRNA from 1 species